CGAAGCUGGGUCAGUCCCCGCGGGAGGCCGAGUACAACCCGCCCCGCAGGACCGCGUGUGGCUGGGGCAAAGGGUCUGUUGGACUCCCCGCCGGGCAGGCCGCUCCUGCGCGGAACACGGGGAUGUCCCAUCCCUGCAUCACCGCGCACUUGGGACCCUCUCUGCGCCCCUACGCGACCAGUGCUGUGACUUCCUCCCUGAGCAGCCCCGGCUGCGCCUCCAGGGACCGGCUGGGUUUGGAGGCAGCGGCUGGCUAAGUGAUGCAGAAUAAAGCGGCAAUGACCCAGUGAGGAAGGAAAAUGAGCACAGCCUGCCCUGGUCACACAAUUAAAACAUAUACGCUGGCCAAAGGUACUGCCCUCCUCCACCUCUUCCUUCAGAGAGAGAAGGGCCCUUUUUGACCUGGAAGCCUAUUAAAGCAUUCCACUGGGGAAUUCUCUGACCCUUCUGAAGGGAUGCUGUGAGAAACCUUGUUCCUUAGAAUGCAGCCACACAAAGGGUUUUGUGCAAAUACUGAGCCAUUAUUCUGUAAAUGCAAAGAAGCAUUAGGGAUGGUAUGUGAACAAAAACUGGACAGAGGAUGCACGCCCAGAUGCUGUCUUGGCCAGGUUGCAAUUUGAAUGAUCUAAUGUUUUCUGGCUCCUUCUUACUUUGCUUUUCCAAUUUGGUUUGAAUAUUUGCAUUACUGUAUUAUUUUCCCUGUACAAUUGCUGUUGUCUGUACACAAUUAGGUCAUUUUUAUAGUUGGGUGAGGAGAUGCUUCAGACGUGAGAGGAGCUACAGUUGGUAGCUGGCUCCCCCCUGGGAUGUACGCUGAGAUCCCCAUUCCAUUGGUUCCAAAGACUCUACCUGUGCCCAGGUCCUGAAAGUUUUAAUGUAGGUCAUCCAACCAAGUGGAAAGAACCACAGCAUCUCUUUGUAAUGGUGGGUAAGCACAUCUUGUUUCUAUAAGUUUCGGGUUGGUUUGCUGAUUUAAUCAUGCUGUUCCUUGGGCCAAAUCUGACCCUGUAUUGCUAUGCUCCAGACAAAAGAAAGGACUCU
rnacentral:lncRNA from 1 species